rnacentral:rRNA from 1 species
AUACGGAGGGUGCAAGCGUUAUUCGGAAUCACUUGGCGUAAAGGACGCGUAGGCGGGUUGGCAAGUCAGAUGUGAAAUCCUACAGCUUAACUGUAGAACUGCAUUUGAAACUGCUAACCUAGAGUAUGGGAGGGGGAGAUGGAAUUAGUGGUGUAGGGGUAAAAUCCGUAGAUAUCACUAGGAAUACCGAAAGCGAAGGCGAUCUCCUGGAACAUAACUGACGCUAAGGCGUGAAAGCGUGGGGAGCAAACAGGAUUAGAAACCCUUGUAGUCC